GACGUAGGGGGCGAGCGUUGUCCGGAUUCAUUGGGCGUAAAGCGCGCGUAGGCGGCUGCGCAAGUCGGUUGUGAAAUUCCGGGGCUCAACCCCGGAACUGCGUCCGAUACUGCGUGGCUAGAGGUAGGUAGGGGAGAUCGGAAUUCCUGGUGUAGCGGUGAAAUGCGCAGAUAUCAGGAGGAACACCGGUGGCGAAGGCAGCUCGCUGGGACGGUACUGACGCUGAGACGCGAAAGCGUGGGGAGCAAACAGG
rnacentral:rRNA from 1 species